GUAGGGGGAGCAGUGGUGCAGGGCUGGUGGCGCAGCAGCACUUCCUUCCUAACAGGACUUGGGGUCCCGGUGCUGCUUCCUGCUGUGGGCACCUCCCUGCUCCCGCGGGGGUAGGGGUGCCUGGGGACACGGCAUCCUGGGGGCAGCUGCACCUUGCCUGCCCUCCUCCACCGGCAGUGAAGGUGCAGCGAUGCAGCUGGCUUCUGCUGGAGGUUGUGAGCAAGAAACGCCAGAAGCUGCCCAACAGCGUGAAGCUCUCCGUUCCGGAGAAGCCGUAGGGAGGAUGACGGCAACGACGGAUGUUAAUGAAGAGCAGCCUGCAGAGGAAAAAAGAAAGGAUGUGGGGAGAGGGGUGCCCUCCGGCUGAGGAGGGGACCCCGUGCGUGGAGGUUCAGCUGCCUGCAGCUCUUCUCCCCGACUUGCUUUCCCGUGCUGUGGAGGAAGG
rnacentral:lncRNA from 1 species